rnacentral:rRNA from 1 species
UACAGAGGUCUCAAGCGUUGUUCGGAUUCAUUGGGCGUAAAGGGCGCGUAGGCGGAUCUUUAAGUCGGGGGUGAAAGCCUGAGGCUCAACCUCAGAAUUGCCUUCGAUACUGGAGAUCUUGAGACCGGAAGAGGUGAGUGGAACUGCGAGUGUAGAGGUGAAAUUCGUAGAUAUUCGCAAGAACACCAGUGGCGAAGGCGGCUCACUGGUCCGGUUCUGACGCUGAGGCGCGAAAGCGUGGGGAGCAAACAGG